rnacentral:rRNA from 1 species
CAAAGGGGGCGACCCCGGUCAUGGAUGGGCAUGCGGCGCAUUAGGUAGUUGGUGGGGCAACGGCCCACCAAGCCGACGAUGCGUAGGGGUUCUGAGAGGAAGGUCCCCCACAUUGGAACUGAGACACGGUCCAAACUCCUACGGGAGGCAGCAGUGAGGAAUAUUGGUCAAUGGCCGGAAGGCUGAACCAGCCAAGUCGCGUGAGGGAAUAAGGCCCUACGGGUCGUAAACCUCUUUUGCCAGGGAGCAAUGCCGUCCACGUGUGGACGGAAGGAGAGUACCUGGAGAAAAAGCAUCGGCUAACUCCGUGCCAGCAGCCGCGGUAAUACGGAGGAUGCGAGCGUUAUCCGGAUUUAUUGGGUUUAAAGGGUGCGUAGGCGGCCUGCCAAGUCAGCGGUAAAAUUGCGGGGCUCAACCCCGUACAGCCGUUGAAACUGCCGGGCUCGAGUGGGCGAGAAGUAUGCGGAAUGCGUGGUGUAGCGGUGAAAUGCAUAGAUAUCACGCAGAACCCCGAUUGCGAAGGCAGCAUACCGGCGCCCGACUGACGCUGAGGCACGAAAGUGCGGGGAUCAAACAGGAUUAGAUACCCUGGUAGUCCGCACAGUAAACGAUGAAUGCUAGCUGUCCGGGGGGAUUGACCCCUG